AUGUUGUCUCCAACCCUCUGCACAACCUCGUCGUCGAGUGGUCUAUCAUUCAUCCUUUCUGUGCGGGAGUGGUUCGCUUCGCGGAUGUUCUUGUUCGGGAUCAGGUGGUUUCUAGGUCAGGCUUUUUUCAUCUUGCUGGAGAUCGUGUUCUGUACUUCACUCGUCAGUCUGAAGGUCGUAAUGCUAGACGUACUGAAGGUCUAAGGGUUUUCUAUGUCAUGUUCUUGGGAUGGCCGAUUGAUUACUGUAAUGAGCGUCUCUUCCGUCAGGCUAUGCUUCGUUUUGGUUUUCCCCUCAAUUGGGUUAAUCCCCACAUGAAGGAGGCUUAUAUCCUGAUUAGGUGUUUGGUUAAGGAGCAUUUGAAAGUCCGGGCAGCACCAUUCUUGAGCACAUCUGCCACUAUGGUGGAGUGGGGCAUUCCUGGACUAAGCUCACUAUGCUGUUGGAUAGAGACCUGGAUGGAGUUCUGCCAUUGGAAGAGGAUUUCCCGGAGGCCACCAGAAACCGCCAUGCUCUGUUGCCGCCACCUGAACCUGAAGAUGGCUGGGAACUUUGGGGGCACAAUGAGGAUGCUGCGGAUGCCAAGCCGGCGGCCAAUGGUUUGCCACAGGAUGAGCAGGAUGUGCCGAUGCCUAACUUCCCGGCUGAACCCAGAGACCAUCGUGCUCCCCAGCGUCCUCUUGGUCUGCUGCUUGAUCAUGCUCCGAUUGCUUCUGACAGCCUGAAUUCCAGCAGUGAUGAGGCUAUUGUGCUGCGUUUGGGUCCUGAUCACUCUGCCCCUGGUCGUCGUGCUCUCCCUGGCCUCACCAUCAGAAGCCCGCUGCGGGAUCCUUCGACAGUUCUUGUUCAGAGUCAUGCUGUGGAUCCCGAGCUUCAGCUAUUUGCGCAAGAUUUGGGGAUUGCUUCUGCUUUUGAUCGUGACCUUCAGAUUGUUCUCCUGGACCAACACGAGCAUGCUCUUGAUCUGAAGGCAGAGGGUUUUGAUCCAUCUGAUCCCAAAGGAAAGAAGGCUGCGGAUGGUCCUUGUCGUUCUGUUAUUCUUCCUGGCACCAGCAAGUGUUCUGCGCCUGCUCCUGUGAUUGACUUGGGCGGCCGACAUGCGCCUGCAAUUUCUACCUUGCCCAACAGCCCUGUCAAGGAUCCUUUCACAGUGCCUGCUAGCUCUUCAGCGAUUUGGCCAUCUCCCAUGUUCCACAUCCCCGGGCUGACACCUCAGACUUCUGCCCCUGUGGUUCCCCUGCCUGAAUCUGGUUUGCCGGUGAUGAUCAAUUCUGCUGAGCCUGUUGCUGACCUUUCUUCCCAACUACUUAGUCAGAAUCAGUUGAAUGCGCUUCAGGAUAUUGCUCCCACCUCUGCUAAGAAGAAAUGGCUUAUUCAGUACCUGGCUGAUCUGGUUAACAAGGAGGCCUCUGAAUCCGGCGCCAAAGAGGACUCUCAUUCUGCUUUCUCCCCCAUUCGCAAGCUGGAUACUCUUCUGAUUAGUGAUCUGGCUCCGGCCUCGUCCCAUACCAGCUCUGCCCUCAGACCAAGAAGUGCGAGAAGCUUUGGGAAGGUUUACAAGAGAAGAAACAAAGGGCGUUGCUCUUCUGCCACUAGUGGUGUUGUUCAUUCCCGCCACUUGGUUUUUCAAGCUUUGGGCCUCAAUUCGCCAGUGUCCUCUGGGCCGGCCCAUUUUGGCCCUGCUCGCCUGCGCCAUGGGCCGGUUUUUGAAAGGGACUCAGUGCUCUUCACCAAGGCUUCAAGAAGGACUUUGCUGCCAUGCAUUGUGGCUCCACUAGUCAGCAGCCUCGAGGCUCCAAAUCCAGCUCUCGUUCAGCGUCUAGCAGUGCUUCUCGUUGCUCCAUCAACCAAGCCCUUCCGGCUGAUCUGCAGCAGCAUCUUCAGCCUACUGAUGAGGUCCCGGUGCCGGGGCCUAUUCCCAUGCAGGUUCUGCAGUCAACUGGGAUGUCCUAUGGUUUCGCCCCUUCAGAGCUGGAGGCCGACAAGCUGAACAACCUUGACGUGCCCGAUGUUAUCACACCUGAUGCUUAGAGGGAGCUGGGGACCCUUAACCACUUGGAGGAGGCUUUUGGCGCGCUUUAUUUGUCUGAUCGCUUGCUCUUGCUGCGCUGUUUUUGUGUUGAAACUACUGUUUAUUCCGAUCAAGGUUGUGCAUUGGUCGUGGCUGCUUCGUUGUUCUUUUCGUUGUAAUGAAUAGUACAACCUCUUCUUCUAGGUCGUGGAAUGUCCUGUGUUGGAACGCUCGUGGCAUUAACGCGUCUGGUAAACAUGAUGCGAUUUGUGCUCGUAUUUUGGAAGGAGACUGCUCUAUUGUCUGCCUUCGGGAAACCAAAAGGGUUGACUUUGAUUUAGCUUUUGUUAAGAAGUUCGCCCCUCGCAGGCUUGAUCACUUUGCUUUUGUGCCAGCUUCCGAGACUGUGGGCAACUCUGGGCGCUUGAUCACUGUCUAGGAUGGCGCUCUUUUUAGUGGAACUGUCACUGAUUCGCUCCCCUUUGCCCUCCAUGUGAUGCUCAAGUCUCACCUGUCGGCCGACUGCUUUCAUAUCGUCAAUGUUUAUGGUCCUUGCUCGGUUGAAGCUAGAUCGGAUUUCUUGGACUGGCUGUGCUCUCUAGAUAUUGGUGACGAGGAGGAUUGGCUCUUCCUUGGUGACUUCAAGCUGUAUCAUUCGCUGGAGAACCGCAACCGUCCGGAUGGUAACAUUUCUUUCUGGAAGCUGAUAUAAAGGGGCCUGGGCUAAAACUUCAUCACACAGGCAAAGCUAUCCUUACCGUCCUUCGCCAUCUUGGUCGCAUCCAUGAGACUCGUAUUGGGCAUCACCGGGUCUUCAUACUGUCAAAACAAUGCUGAAUCAAGCGGGGUGCUAUGAUCAUGAAGAGUAUGUCGCCAGAGCCACACAUUCCUGCAGCCUGUUUGCUACGAUGUAGUUUGCAAUCAUAGUAGAUGAAUGUAACUUCCAAUGCAUAGUCUUGUGUUGGUCAUUGCAUGUCUCCACUACCCAGUAAGACUUGUGCAGUUCGUUUUUUCUCCGUAGUGCAAAACGAGCUUUGCAUGUUUCGCUGAUGAUGUCACCGAGUCUCCCUGCUUACUAGUGAUAAUUAUUGAAAAGUCAGAAUUUCCAUGCUA